CCCCUCUUAAUUUUUUUUUUUAACAAUAGUCCCACGAAAUUUAUAGUUAUAAAACUGGUCCUAUUCUCACCAUGCAAGCGUCAUAUAAGCGCCACGUUAGCGACUGUGAAGGAUUAAGUUGAACACAGUGAAUCAUUCACCGUGUUUGGGCAUUCUGAACAGUAACCAACCUCGUAAUACAAAAGAACUACAAUAGCUCCGCAGUACAUUUUAGCUUAAAUAUAGUAAAUAAUUCACUGUGUCUAAACACGGUGAAUGAUUCACCGUGUUCAACUUAUACCAGUCAGCCGCUGAUGUGGCGCUUGCGUGGCGGAAAUAAGGCCAAUUUUAUAAUUAUAAAUUUUGUAGAAUUAUUUUAAAAAAAAAUUAUGGGGAGGCUAAAUGUAUAAA
rnacentral:lncRNA from 1 species